rnacentral:lncRNA from 1 species
GAGUGGGUACCUUGGGUGGGCUUGGUCAGAUUCAGGUUUAAUUCAACCGUGGUGGGCUUGAGGCAUAUGUGAGUAGACUUGGGCUCGAUUUGAGUUAGAAGAACCUGGGCUGGGUUUGGUUUGUGACUGUUUGGGCUGAAUAUGUUCCUUAGCAGAUUGGCCUUGUUUGGUGUUGUCUAGGAUGUCAACGCUUCAAACUCCAUUCGUUAUCUUGUUUCGAGAGGGC